AGAAAAGCCUCAAGGAUAAGUCAGGUUAUAAAAGCACACACCAAGUUUGUUUAGCAAUUCCUGGGGACUCCAGGUAGAGCAUUGAACAAUGCUUGGAAUUUGGAUUCUUGCACUUUUUCUGCUUGGUACAGCCAGAGG